rnacentral:ncRNA from 1 species
UACUUGGUUGAUCCUGCCAAGGAAGCACACUUAGGUCAUAGAUUAAGCCAUGCAAGUGUUAGUUCAGGUAACGAAACUGCGAAUAGCUCAUUAAUACGCUCAGAAUCUAUUUGGCGGCGACCAACAGGUCUUAAAUGGAUAGCAGCAGCAACUCUGGUGCUAAUACAUGCGAUUGUUUUCUCCAGAUGUGAAUUAUGGAGGAAAAGUUGACCUCAUCAGAGGCACGCCAUUCGACUGAGUGACCUAUCAGCUUGUACUUAGGGUCUUUACCUAGGUAGGCUAUCACGGGUAACGGGCGGUUACCGUCGGACUGCCGGAGAAGGCGCCUGAGAGAUAGCGACUAUAUCCACGGGUAGCAGCAGGCGCGAAACUUUCCCACUCGAGACUUUCGGAGGAGGUAAUGACCAGUUCCAUUGGUGCCUUUUGGUACUGUGGAUAGGGGUACGGUUUUCCACCGUACCGAAACCUAGCAGAGGGCCAGUCUGGUGCCAGCAGCUGCGGUAAUUCCAGCUCUGCGAGUUUGCUCCCAUAUUGUUGCAGUUAAAACGCCCGUAGUCUGAAUUGGCCAGCAAUGGUCGUACGUAUUUUUACGUUCACUGUGAACAAAUCAGGACGCUUAGAGUAUGGC